GACGUAGGGCGCGAGCGUUGUCCGGAUUCACUGGGCGUAAAGGGUGCGUAGGUGGUGGGGUAAGUCGGAUGUGAAAUCCCGGGGCUCAACCCCGGAACUGCAUUCGAUACUGCCUUGCUCGAGUACUGGAGAGGAGACUGGAAUUUACGGUGUAGCAGUGAAAUGCGUAGAUAUCGUAAGGAAGACCAGUGGCGAAGGCGAGUCUCUGGACAGUUACUGACACUGAGGCACGAAGGCCAGGGGAGCAAACGGG
rnacentral:rRNA from 1 species